AGUUUCACGUCACUUUAGUUUUUCCUAUUCUGUUCACAAAAUCUUUUUUUUUUAUUCCUUUUCUUUCUUUUCACGUAGGUUUGGAAAAGGGGGUAACAAAUCGUUCUUUUGGUUUCUUGAUUUUUAAUGUCAAAGCCUCUUUAUUUUACUAUUCAAAGAUCGGUAGUGGUGCUAAUCGAGUAGGUUUCAACGAGACUCGUGUGUGACGAACAUGAGAAUCGAAAAUCCCCUCUUUUGAUUUAAUUGUUUUAGGGGCUGCUGUGAACGUGGGUACUAUUUUCUUCAUGAAUAUGGUGGUAUCGAAAUCGAAUCAGGUGUGUAUCGAAAAAUAUGAAAAAUAGUGAUCGGCGAAAGUCGAAAAAGUUCACUGUCGACGCCACACGACCGUGUGCCAGACUGUAUGACAGACCAUUUGCAAGACCAUGUGUGACAUACGGGCUAGGCUAUUUGGGCCGUGUAGGCCCAAAAUUCUAAAAUAUUCCCUAGGGCCGUGUUUUAUACUCAUAUGGUGUGUUGAGAUGGUCGAAGAUGGUAUGUAGCGGUUGGGGGUAAUUCACAGACUUAGGUCGGGCGGUGUGACGGGAGCUUGGUUAUAUUAGUAUUUCAUUUUUUUCAACUAUUUAAAGUUGGAUUUUAGCUUUUUGUAAAAUUUGGAUUGUUUUGGACAUUUUGGGAUUGUCUUAGUUUUGGAUUUUAUUUUCGAUUUUCGUAUGAUACUCGUAAAAUGAUUACGAAAAUGAUUGUUUUCCUGCAAACAAUCGGUUUCGAGAAAACAAACUUUGUUUUCCAAAAUAUAAUGACCUAAGAAUUUUCGUUGUAAAGUUUUCGUUUUAUUUUGAAGAUGUAAAUAAACAACAUUUUCAAUUAAAUAGUUAUAUCAAAUACUUUUUUUUAAUAAAACAGGUUUUUAGGUAACAAAAGUUUACUAUGUUUUUCAAAAUAUACGGGAACCGGAUUUACUACUGUUUUACGUAGCAUCUCCAGAUUUAGUCAUAACGUUCAUACCGGGUUUGGGGUGUUACAAUUUUUCAUUUUCUUUAUUUUACGAAAAUUUACUAUAUAAAUUUUAUGGUGGGCUUACAAUAAUUCUCUCUAUAACAGUAUAUUGUUAUAGGUGUAUAAUAAUCGCCUUUCUAUAGCAGGCAAAAUCUUGGCAAACAAAUGAGAUUGUUAUAGAGAGAGUUGAUUGUGCUAUAAUUUCUAAUAUAAUUUGGUCAUUAUAUUUUUAUAAUGAUACUAGUUAGGCCAAAUAGUUAAUAUAGUUAAUUUUUCGAUUAAAAUGUUACCUAUUUGUAUAUAAUUUAUGCCCUAUGGGUCUUAGAGGCAGACACUAUUUUGGGUUU